rnacentral:rRNA from 1 species
UCGGGGGACGGGCGAAACGCCGGGCCGCUGGUUAAGCUGGCAAGGGCGCACGGUGAAUACCUUGGCACUGGGAGCCGAUGAAGGACGGGACGAACACCGAUAUGCUUCGGGGAGCUGUAAGUAGGCGUUGAUCCGGAGAUUUCCGAAUGGGGAAACCCCUUAUCCGUCACAGGAUAAGAUCCGCACCUGAAUAUAUAGGGUGCCGGAAGGCAGACCCGGGGAACUGAAACAUCUCAGUACCCGGAGGAACAGAAAGCAACAGCGAUUUCCUGAGUAGCGGCGAGCGAAACGGAAUCCAGCCCAAACCGAAAGGCUUGCCUUUCGGGGUUGAAGGACACUCCAUACGGAGUUACAAAGAGCGCGCGUAGGUGAAGCGGCCUGGAAAGGCCCGCGGGACAAGGUAACAGCCCUGUAGCCGAAACGCCCGCUCCUCCGGAGUGGAUCCUGAGUACGGCGGGACACGAGAAACCCCGUCGGAAUCCGGGAGGACCAUCUCCCAAGGCUAAAUACGACCCAGUGACCGAUAGUGAACCAGUACCGUGAGGGAAAGGUGAAAAGCACCCCGGGAGGGGAGUGAAAAAGAUCUUGAAACCGUGUGCCUACAAGUAGUUGGAGCCCGUUUAUGGGUGACAGCGUGCCUUUUGUAGAAUGAACCGGCGAGUUACGAUGACGUGCAAGGUUAAGCCGAAAAGGCGGAGCCGCAGCGAAAGCGAGUCUGAACAGGGCGCAUGAGUACGUCGUUGUAGACCCGAAACCGAGUGAUCUACCCAUGUCCAGGGUGAAGUCCAGGUAACACUGGAUGGAGGCCCGAACCCACGUAAGUUGAAAAUUACGGGGAUGAGGUGUGGGUAGGGGUGAAAUGCCAAUCGAACUCGGAGAUAGCUGGUUCUCCCCGAAAUAGCUUUAGGGCUAGCCUCGGGGGAAGAGUGUUGGAGGUAGAGCACUGAUUGGACUAGGGGUCCCUACAGGAUUACCGAAUUCAGUCAAACUCCGAAUGCCAAUCACUUAUCCCCGGGAGUCAGACUGCGAGUGCUAAGAUCCGUAGUCGAAAGGGAAACAGCCCAGACCAUCAGCUAAGGUCCCCAAGUAUACGUUAAGUGGAAAAGGAUGUGGAGUUGCUUAGACAACCAGGAUGUUGGCUUAGAAGCAGCCAUCAUUGAAAGAGUGCGUAAUAGCUCACUGGUCGAGUGACUCUGCGCCGACAAUGUACCGGGGCUAAACGUAUCACCGAAGCUAUGGAUAGACACCUCAGGUGUCUGUGGUAGGGGAGCGUUCCAAGGGCUUUGAAGCAUGACCGCAAGGACAUGUGGAGCGCUUGGAAGUGAGAAUGCCGGUAUGAGUAGCGAAAAGAGGGGUGAGAAUCCCCUCCGUCGAAAGCCUAAGGUUUCCUGAGGAAGGCUCGUCCGCUCAGGGUCAGUCGGGACCUAAGCCGAGGCCGAAAGGCGUAGGCGAUGGAAAACUGGUUGAUAUUCCAGUACCGCCUUGUUUCCGUCCGAGUGAAGGGGGGACGCAGGAAGGUAGGGUAAGCGCACCGCUGGAAGCGUGCGUCGAAGCAGUGAGACUGGGAAACAGGCAAAUCCGUUUCCCGCGAAGGUUGAGCUGUGAUCGCGAGUGAAAUUCAGUAGCGAAGUUCCCGAUCCUACACUGCCUAGAAAAGCCUCUAGCGAGGAAACAGGCGCCCGUACCGCAAACCGACACAGGUAGGCGGGAUGAGAAUUCUAAGACGCGCGGGAGAACUCUCGUUAAGGAACUCGGCAAAAUGACUCCGUAACUUCGGGAGAAGGAGUGCUCCCCGGGGUGAAUAGCCCGGGGGAGCCGCAGUGACAAGGCCCAAACGACUGUUUACCAAAAACACAGGUCUCUGCGAAGCCGCAAGGCGAAGUAUAGGGGCUGACACCUGCCCGGUGCUGGAAGGUUAAGAGGAGGGGUUAUCCCUUACGGGAGAAGCUCCGAAUCGAAGCCCCAGUAAACGGCGGCCGUAACUAUAACGGUCCUAAGGUAGCGAAAUUCCUUGUCGGGUAAGUUCCGACCCGCACGAAAGGUGCAACGAUUUGGGCACUGUCUCAACGAGAGACCCGGUGAAAUUAUAUUACCUGUGAAGAUGCAGGUUACCCGCGACAGGACGGAAAGACCCCAUGGAGCUUUACUGCAGCUUGAUAUUGGAUGUUGGUACAGCUUGUACAGGAUAGGUAGGAGCCUUGGAAACCGGAGCGCCAGCUUCGGCGGAGGCAUUGGUGGGAUACUACCCUGGCUGUACAAACAUUCUAACCUCGAACCGUGAUCCGGUUCAGGGACAGUGUCAGGCGGGCAGUUUGACUGGGGCGGUCGCCUCCUAAAGUGUAACGGAGGCGCCCAAAGGUUCCCUCAGAAUGGUUGGAAAUCAUUCGCAGAGUGCAAAGGUAUAAGGGAGCUUGACUGCGAGACUGACAAGUCGAGCAGGGACGAAAGUCGGGCUUAGUGAUCCGGCGGCCCCGUAUGGAAGGGCCGUCGCUCAACGGAUAAAAGCUACCCUGGGGAUAACAGGCUAAUCUCUCCCAAGAGUCCACAUCGACGGGGAGGUUUGGCACCUCGAUGUCGGCUCGUCGCAUCCUGGGGCUGAAGUAGGUCCCAAGGGUUGGGCUGUUCGCCCAUUAAAGCGGCACGCGAGCUGGGUUCAGAACGUCGUGAGACAGUUCGGUCCCUAUCCGUCGCGGGCGCAGGAAAUUUGAGAGGAGCUGUCCUUAGUACGAGAGGACCGGGAUGGACACACCGCUGGUGUACCAGUUGUUCCGCCAGGAGCAUCGCUGGGUAGCUACGUGUGGACGGGAUAAGUGCUGAAAGCAUCUAAGCAUGAAGCCCCCCUCAAGAUGAGAUUUCCCAUCACAUUCGUGUGAGUAAGAUCCCUCAAAGACGAUGAGGUAGAUAGGUCUCGUGUGGAAGCGUGGCGACACGUGAAGCUGAGAGAUACUAAUCGAUCGAGGGCUUAACCA